UCCAGACUCCUACGGGAGGCAGCAGUGGGGAAUAUUGCACAAUGGGGGAAACCCUGAUGCAGCGACGCCGCGUGGGCGAAGAAGUAUCUCGGUAUGUAAAGCUCUAUCAGCAGGGAAGAAAAUGACGGUACCUGACUAAGAAGCCCCGGCUAACUACGUGCCAGCAGCCGCGGUAAUACGUAGGGGGCAAGCGUUAUCCGGAUUUACUGGGUGUAAAGGGAGCGUAGACGGCAGCGCAAGUCUGAAGUGAAAUCCCAUGGCUUAACCAUGGAACUGCUUUGGAAACUGUGCAGCUGGAGUGCAGGAGAGGUAAGCGGAAUUCCUAGUGUAGCGGUGAAAUGCGUAGAUAUUAGGAGGAACACCAGUGGCGAAGGCGGCUUACUGGACUGUAACUGACGUUGAGGCUCGAAAGCGUGGGGAGCAAACAGGAUUAGAUACCCUCGUAAAU
rnacentral:rRNA from 1 species